rnacentral:sRNA from 1 species
GCGAGCCAGAACUGUGCUUCGGAACCGCGGGCCCGGUGUGGGCUGCGGAACCAGGGUGCAAUGGACCGUGCUCGAGGUUCUUGUUC